rnacentral:rRNA from 1 species
UGGGGAAUAUUGGACAAUGGGCGAAAGCCUGAUCCAGCCAUGCCGCGUGUGUGAAGAAGGUCUUCGGAUUGUAAAGCACUUUAAGUUGGGAGGAAGGGCAGUAAGCGAAUACCUUGCUGUUUUGACGUUACCGACAGAAUAAGCACCGGCUAACUCUGUGCCAGCAGCCGCGGUAAUACAGAGGGUGCAAGCGUUAAUCGGAAUUACUGGGCGUAAAGCGCGCGUAGGUGGUUCGUUAAGUUGAAUGUGAAAGCCCCGGGCUCAACCUGGGAACUGCAUCCAAAACUGGCUAGCUAGAGUAAGGCAGAGGGUGGUGGAAUUUCCUGUGUAGCGGAGAAAUGCGUAGAUAUAGGAAGGAACACCAGUGGCGAAGGCGACCACCUGGGCUCAUACUGACACUGAGGUGCGAAAGCGUGGGGAGCAAACAGG